GACGAACGCUGGCGGCGUGCCUAAUACAUGCAAGUCGAACGCUGAAGGAGGAGCUUGCUUCUCCGGAUGAGUUGCGAACGGGUGAGUAACGCGUAGGUAACCUGCCUGUUAGCUGGGGAUAACUAUUGGAAACGAUGGCUAAUACCGCAUAACAGUAGAUCUUGCAUGAUAUCUGCUUGAAAGGUGCAAUUGCAUCACUACCAGAUGGACCUGCGGUGUAUUAGGUUGUUGGUGAGGUAACGGCUCCCCUAGGCGACGAAACAUCGCACACCGGAGAGGGGGAGUGGCCAGCCUGAGAGUGAGACACGCCACAGAGUGCCUGGGGAGGGGGCCGUAGGGCAACUUGGGACAUCGACGGAAGACUGAGCAAGCAACGCGGAGUGAGUGUAGAAGGUCUUCGGGUCGUAAAGGACUGUUGUCAGGGAAGAAAGAGCGUGAGCGUGGAAAGUACACAGUGUGACGGUAUCUUACAAGAAAGGAACGGCUAACUACGUG
rnacentral:rRNA from 1 species